rnacentral:lncRNA from 1 species
UCAAUCCGUGCUCCAAUUCUGAGAACAUCGCCUCCUAUCCCGGAAGCCUAGCCCUAUCCUCCAUCUGGCCAUUCUCUCUCCGACUCUCCCCCACCCCAGCCACCGCCACCACUGUCAUCUCCUCUCCUCCCUUUUUUCGGGUAUUCUUUUCCCCACUUCUUCGCGCUCGCUAGGCGCUCCCUCCAUUCCUAGCUGAACGUGAAGACGGACAACUAGACGAGCAAUAUGAGAGCGGUUGACCAGAGGCGGUGAAGUGAGAUGGGUAAGUCCCAGGAUUUUAGACGACUGUCAAGUUUAGUCAUCCAUUCAUUCCCUUGCCAAAUCAAUUCGGGGAAUUUAGUGGCUUAUGUAAUUCAUAUUCCUCUAGUACUGCGGUUCGGCAAUACCAGCAUUGUUGCAAGUGAAAGAAAAAACAUUCGUCUUCAAUGGGACGGUUGACGCCGCCGCGGCGGAGUCUAGAGGAGCCAACCCUGUGGCGGAAUUCCGGGGCAAGGACUGCAGUGCCGCCGACCUCUUUCACUCCUUCGUCGACCAAGACAACCUUGUUUUUUAUGUUUUUUGGUUACUUUACUCUGACUUGCCUAUGAAUCUGACCAUCUGGUGCAGUGUGUCAAUUAAUUUCAAUGCAUCAAAAAUUUGCAACACGCCAUGUGUUUGUUUUCAUAUUCUUAGGACCAAAGGGUCUCCUUUUUGCAGCAUGUACUUUCGUAUCGAUAUGUAAGUGAGUCUUCUAAUGUCAAAGUAAAACUCAAUUCCAGGUUCUUGUGUUGGAUGCAUCAAAUCUUGGGAUGAUCAAACCAAACACCAUAGCGGAAAAUGGUUCAGGAUAUAUAUGCUUGGGAACUAGUGCUACAUGGAUGCUUUCAAGGUACUGAACUGAAUCUCUCAAGCUCUGGUGAUUGCUAUUGACAGUAAGUAGUGCCUGAGCACAUGCGAGUGGAUUAGGUACAAAGAUGCCAAAUAUUUUUGCCACUUAGCAAUUACCAAAUUUUCUUUUCCACAAAACUCCAAUCAAAUUUGAGAUUAGAAAUGGAUUUAAUCGAAUACAAAGGAAAAUAAUGUAGUGGAUUGCCUCUUCAGUUGAAGAAUUAGAUUUGUUAUUCCGUUACAAUUAGGAUAAUUUUUACCACUUCCUAUAUCUUGAGCGUUACUAAACAUAUGUAUCCAUACUAAACACAUAUGUAUCCAUGAUACAGAUACCAUAAGAACCAUUGAGAGUUUCUGCGUUAGUAUCACUCUGAGGCAUUUCUGUUACUAAUGCAGGUGCCGUGCUAGGGAAACAACCAAAAUAGGUAAACGUUCAAAUUUCUACCUCCCUUGUCUUACUUUAAGAAGUGGUGGUGACAAUUGUAGGUUAGCUAUCCCGAAAUAUUAUUUGUGACUGACUGAUGUUUAAAAAUGAUGCAGAUACAAAUGUAUUGUUUAACCACCUUGCUACUAAGGAAAUAAUCCUGCUACUGAACAAAUAAUAGAUCACAUCAUUCACCUAGAAAAACAGAUGAUGUCCCAGAAUCUAAUACGUCUAGGGAUAAGGGUCGAAUCUAUUCAACAUAGUCGAAAAUGUUAAUUCCCAUAUACUGACAUACUGUAUUGUGAACAAGAGAUAAUGUAAUCCAUAGUAAGAGGGACAGAUAGGAGAAACUUAGAAACCCAAAGCUCUAAAUGGUAAUUCAAUUUAACAUGGAGGCACAGGAUCAUAUACCACACAUCGACAUCAAUAUUGACUAAUUCCUUGCUUAUUUUCAAUAGGAUGAAAGAGUGUCGAAUGCUUCUUCAGACACUAUUUCUUGGUUCGUCAAUUCUAUUAACCCAAAUGCAUUUUUUCUCAAAUGUGGCAAAAAAUGAUUCUCUCACCAAUUGUCAGCACGCCUGUUUCUAGCAAAGUUCUAGAGAAGGUAAGUUCUUUAGAUAGAUGCAAAAUCUAGUAUUAUUUUAUUCUUUUUUCACAUUCAUAUGACCUUUAUGAUGUCACAAUGUGAGGUGUUUAACUGUGUCUAACUAUUAAUUAUUGCCUUUUCCUAUUUGUUGUACAGGAAAAGAUGGAAUGAAACUCAUAUUUUGGUGGCCGCACAAGUGUGGAUACUUGAAUUCAUAUAUAUACUUAGUUAGGAUCGAAGUUAGUGCAAACAGUUGAUGAUCAAGUUUUUUAAUUAGUAUUUUAGUUUGGAUUAAGAGUACAUUUAUGUAUGAGUUAUAUGGCAUUGCUAAUUUAUAAGAUAUUGAAUGGUACUUAUAAAUAUUAUAUUAAUAGGAAUAUUAUUAAAUAUAUGUGUAUGUAUGUUGCUCUUUC